rnacentral:rRNA from 1 species
CUUCCGUAGGUGAACCUGCGGAAGGAUCAUUAGUGAAUUUUAGGGACUCCACUCUGUGGAUCCCGACCCUCACCAUAAUCCACAUACACUUGUGCACUGUUGGUCAGGUGUGAGCUGAGCCCUUUACCGGGCGACGCUUGUUUUAUCACCUGCCAACGCCCUUAUAACAAACUCUGAGAACUAUGAAUGUGAAUUUAACUUGCCAAUUUUUGGCGAAAUUAAAUACAACUUUCGACAACGGAUCUCUUGGUUCUCCCAUCGAUGAAGAACGCAGCGAAUUGCGAUAAGUAAUGUGAAUUGCAGAAUUCAGUGAAUCAUCGAAUCUUUGAACGCACCUUGCGCUCCCUGGUAUUCCUAGGAGCAUGCCUGUUUGAGUGUCAUGAAUUCCUCAAAUCCCAAUGUUUUGCAAAAUUCAUUGCUUGGAUUUGGUUGUGGGCCUAUAUUGCUGCCUCACCGCAGCUGGCCUUAAAGAUAUUAGCUGGACUCUCCGAGACUCUUGGAUAGUUCCACUUGAUGUGAUAAAUUUGCAUCGGUGGGUCAAGAUUAUGCUUGGGAAGUGUGAGAAGUCUGCUUCUAAUCCGGCGAGAGGUUCCAUCCUCGACCCAAUUCAUUUACAACUCUGGCCUCAAAUCAGGUAGGACUACCCGCUGAACUUAAGCAUAUCAAUAAGCGGAGGGAA